rnacentral:rRNA from 1 species
AAUCAACGCUGGCGGCGUGCCUAACACAUGCAAGUCGAACGCGAAAGCCCCGCAAGGGGUAAGUAGAGUGGCAAACGGGUGAGUAACACGUGGGUGACCUGCCUUCGAGUGGGGGAUAACGUCCCGAAAGGGACGCUAAUACCGCAUGACAUCCUGCUUUUGAACAAGCGGAGAUCAAAGCAGGGGAUCGCAAGACCUAGCGCUUGAAGAGGGGCCCGCGCCUGAUUAGCUAGUUGGUGAGGUAACGGCUCACCAAGGCGACGAUCAGUAUCCGGCCUGAGAGGGCGGACGGACACACUGGGACUGAGACACGGCCCAGACUCCUACGGGAGGCAGCAGUGGGGAAUUGUUCGCAAUGGGCGCAAGCCUGACGACGCAACGCCGCGUGGAGGACGAAGAUCUUCGGGUCGUAAACUCCUGUCGAGCGGGACGAACGCUUCGCGGAUGAAUAAUCCGCGGAAUUGACGGUACCGCUAAAGGAAGCCCCGGCUAACUCCGUG